AUGAAUCUAUUAAGCUGGAACCGCCGGGGUUUAGGCAAUGCCCCGACAGUUCAAGAAUUGCACGAACUCGUGUUAAAGUUUGCCCCUAGAGUACUCUGUAUUUUGGAAACGCAAAUUAGCCAAGAGAGAGCUGAAAGCUUAGCAAGUACUCUAGGAUAUGAUUGUUCUUUUGUUGUUGGUUCCACCGGUCGAAGCGGUUGCUUAGUUUUGUACUGGAAUAAUGAAAUAAAAGUUGAAAAUUUGGGUUACUCGCAGUAUCACAUUUAUGUCAAUGUGUUGGAUCUGGGGGGGCGUGGAGGCUCUCGUGUUUCUAUGGAGAAGCCCAGACACACCUAA
rnacentral:rRNA from 1 species